rnacentral:misc_RNA from 1 species
GAUGAAGAACGUAGCGAAAUGCGAUAAGUAAUGUGAAUUGCAGAAUUCAGUGAAUCAUCGAAUCUUUGAACGCACAUUGCGCCCCUUGGUAUUCCGAGGGGCAUGCCUGUUCGAGCGUCAUUUCAACCCUCAAGCACAGCUUGGUCUUGGGCUUCGCCGCUAACCCGGCGGGUCUUAAAAUCAGUGGCGGUGCCGUCGGGCCCUGAGCGCAGUAAUCUCUCUCGCUAUAGGGUCCCGGCGGAUGCUGGCCAGUAACCCCCAAUUUUCUAUGGUUGACCUCGGAUCAGGUAGGGAUACCCGCUGAACUUAAGCAUACCAAUAAGCGGAGGA